GUCAUGGGCAUCCGGUUGGAGAGAGCGGUGGAAGAGCGAAAGGGCGAGGGAGGAGAGGGAGCAAAGAGAAGUUUCC
rnacentral:SRP_RNA from 1 species